rnacentral:rRNA from 1 species
UACAGAGGGGGCAAGCGUUGUUCGGAAUUACUGGGCGUAAAGGGCGCGUAGGCGGCCGACUAAGUCAGACGUGAAAUCCCCAGGCUUAACCUGGGAACUGCGUCUGAUACUGGAUGGCUCGAGUUCGGGAGAGGGAAGUGGAAUUCCAGGUGUAGCGGUGAAAUGCGUAGAUAUCUAGAGGAACAGCCGGUGGCGAAGGCGGCUUCCUGGACCGACACUGACGCUGAGGCGCGAAAGCCAGGGGAGCAAACGGG